AAGAGAAAAAAAGACAAAACAGCUGUGCUUUUAAAACAAAAGCAACAAUUAGAAAAAAAAAGAAAGAAAAAAAUCCCAUAUAACGCAUAUAUAAAAGCACGCAUAAAACCUGUCCGACCAGAACCACCGACGAAAGUGGUUGUAGAUAAGAAAAGAUACAUGUUUAUGAAUAUAUUCAUAUACCAUAUAUUAAUUAGCUGAAUUUAGUCACAAGCUUUGUUUUUAUUAAAAAAAACAAAAGCAAAACAAAGUCGCAGUUAUGCACUUCUGGCUCAACAAAAAUAAAAAAUAAAAAAAUUAAUAAAUUAAAUUUAAUUUAAAAAAAGAUUUUCUAUGCAAAAAAAAAAAAAUAAAUAAAAAAAUUCACGAAUCGGAAGGCUAACACUAGUAUUAGUCAGACGGACUGUUUAGCGACGUUUUGUCAAUGGAAUGCCAAAGCUUGUGGCAUUAGAACUAGCAAGGUUAGCAGCGGAAGGCAGUAGCCCUGCCACGCCCCCAACCGAGACUUCUGCAAGACUGACCUAUGCUAACCGAAUUCGAAAUACGUUACAAAAUCAAGGUGUAGGCGGUGCAAAAAAAAAAAAACAAAUUUGAGUUUUGUUAUUUAGCUUGGCUUGGCUUGACUCUCGGCUGGUUUUGGAGCGCGUGCCAAGAAAACUGAAACAAGACCAACAUAAUAACCCAGCCAUAAUGAGUGAAGUGUUAACCAUUGUUAAAGUGUUUUUGCUGCUGCUGCUGCUCAAAGGUAACAAUUGCACUCAAAAGUACUACGACCCAAUUUGAACCGGUUUGUAUUUUCCAUUUUUGCUCAUUGUCUUUGGCUCAGUAUAUGCGUGUGUGUGUGUGUGUGUGUGUGUGUGUAGAUUAGUCAAGCGUUUGGCUGUUUGGUUAGCAACAAUGCUGUCAAACUUUUGCUGGCCGCAACAUUGUUGCCAAGCAUUUGUUGCCAGGCAAAUUAUGAAAUGCGCCGUCGCCACGACCCUCACACACACACACACACACACGCCAAAUUAUUAAUAAUCAACUAAUUUGAGGCGGGACAGACAUGGCAAUUCGAACUAAAACUUUAAUAUACGAGCACACACAUACAUACUUUCUCCACACGAAAAAAAAACAGCCCAGAGCGCAGCUUCCAUUUUAUGUGCAAAUUAAAACCAAGUUUAAAAAUUGUAAAAAAAAAAAAAUAACUUUGGUUGGCUCACACAGCUAACACAGAUACAACAACAACUACAACAACAAAACGUAGGCAAAAAACAGACGAAAAAUAAGCUUGGCUUUGAUUUGGGUCAUUGCACAAUGGUAACGAGAGCGUCGACUAAAUUUAGUAGCGCCAAAUAACUUUGGACACGAAGAGUUCAGCAGCCCCCGAAAAAAGCGCACCCAGCACAAAAAAAAAAAAGCUCAAUUUUUGAACAGCCUCGGAUGUAAUUAUUGCAAAUGGCCUGGAAACUGUUCAGGCUAGAGCUUAAAUAGCUUCCCAAAAAUAACAACAAUAAAAAUUCCAAAACGAAACGAAGCAGAAAACAAGAGUGCUCUAGUGGGGAGGGCUUGACUAGAGGAUACGCUAGAGUACAUGUGGAGAAACUAUAUGGACAUGACAUUAAGCAACAGGCAAAGGAUCUAUAGACUGGAGUUUUUCUCAGUUUGGGUUGAAAAGAACUUGCCUUGAAGCUAUAGGAGAAUACUUAAGUGAAGCUCAUACAAAAUACAGAAGUUCAAUAUCUAUUUUAUAUCACUUAUCGAUAAUCAAUAUAACAAAGUUGAUUUUCGUGUGGUUCGCACUUCACAAUAAUCCUAAAUUCAAGUCUUUAGCUCUUAAACAAGUUUGAUCAAGUCAACUUAAAUAAAAAACUUCAUCCCAUUUUUGCUGCAUACAUCAUACCCAUUUCCCACCACUUUUAGGGUAUCGAAAGAAGAUCGAAAGCUGUGUGUUUUGCCUGAAGUAUGUACGUUAAAAAAAAUGAGAGUGAAGCUCCUUCGACAACCAGUUUCGAUAUGUGGACUUUAAGCAUGAAAUACCCAAAAGAAAAAACAACGCAAACAACGUUAUAUUUCUUGGUAUUAAAUUCCAAGAAGUAUACGUCAUUGUGGGAAAUUUCCAUCGCUCAAAAUUCGCACAAAUUUUUGAUUUCAUAUAACUGCCAAUUUGGAGUUUUUAUGAACAAGUGAAUGCAUUAAGUGCUAAGGUCACUCAUCUACAUAUAAUGCAUAUGAUUAAGCGUCGACUAGCAAUUCCUACAAAUUUUCAUCAUAUAAAAGGAGCUGAAGAUUUGAGUCUAUAUUGCUACCAAGAAUACAUUUAUGUUUAGCUACAUUUCUUUAGAAAUUCAGGCAGGAAGUUUCACCAAAGACAACUUUAUAUUAACAAAAAAUUUUGGUAUAUAUACCUAUAAGUAUGAUGAAUACAAACAUAUAUAAACACAUAUAAUUCAGUAGGAAUUGAAUCGAUAUAAAUACCCAAAAGUGAAAUAAAAAUUCCACACAAUGCCUAGCUCUAGACAGGAAGUUGAUCGAUUUUUUAUUAGAUAUGUAAAUCGUUUAUAAAACAAAUAAAACUGCAUAUUUUAAGAACA